UACAGAGACUGCAAGCGUUAUUCGGAUUCACUGGGCGUAAAGGGUGCGCAGGCGGCCGUGUGUGUGAGGCGUGAAAGCCCGACGCUUAACGUCGGAAUUGCACCUCAAACUACAUGGCUAGAGCAUUGGAGAGGGUAGCGGAAUUCACGGUGUAGCAGUGAAAUGCGUAGAUAUCGUGAGGAACACCAGAGGCGAAGGCGGCUACCUGGACAAUUGCUGACGCUCAGGCACGAAAGCGUGGGGAGCAAAAGGGAUUAGAUACCCCUGUAGUCCACGCCCUAAACGGUGCACACUAGGUCUUGGCGGAUUCGACCCCACCAGGGCCCAAGCUAACGCGUUAAGUGUGCCGCCUGAGGACUACGGCCGCAAGGCUA
rnacentral:rRNA from 1 species